AAAAUAUCACGUAUAAAAUAAAUUAAAUUUUAAAAUCUCGUUUUGCGGCGCAUUUUCGUAAUAUUUUUUUUUUUUCGUUCGCUUGGUAAUUUAAUUCACAAGUAGGAUUUUUCGGACGAGAUUGGUGGCUAUGUGAAUUUGAAUUACUAAGUGUUGGAUUUGGCUGGGAACAAAUUUACUGAUUUAAAAGAAUUAGAGUGUCUUUCUAGUUAUACUAUUUAAGUGCUGAACUUGGAAAGAAAUCCUCUGUGUGAUACAGUAGACAAUGUGCGUUACAAAUGGAACUUACAACAAUUUUUUCCUAUGCUGAUUAAGUUGGACAAUUCAGAACUGCCAUCUCAGUACAAUUCAAUUGAAACCAAAUUUAAAAUACCAAUUACUUUUGGAUAAUUGUUACCCAAUACCAGAAGGCCAUAAUCCUAAACUCCCAAAUCCUGUGAUGAGUUCAGUUUAAUCUUUUCUCAUUCAAUACUAUGAACGUUACGAUAAUUAAGUGUCGAGACAAAUGGUUUCAGAAGCUUACAAUGAAAAUGCCUCGUUUACAUUAUUCAGCAUUAUCAUACAUAACUAUUUAAAAAUGUCAACGAUAGUUUAUCACAGAACCUACCUGAAAGUAGAAAUUUUUUAAAAGCUGACAGCCACAAACAUGAAAAACGUCAAGUUGUGGUGCUAAGAGGUAUAAGGCUGGAUAAACACUGAACGACUGGUAAAUGCUAGACUUUAGCAGUUAUGCAUACACCCCAUUAUUAAUGCAUAUCUUAAUGACAAUCAGGUUUAUUACAAACAAAUUAAGAAGUAUUAAUACAUUUAAUCACUUUUAUACCCGGCUGUGUUGACGAAUGCGUGUGUCGUUAACAGGAUAUGUGUCUGCUAUUAAACAUCAAUACAUUCUUUAUAUUAUUAUAGAUUGACAAUGAGAAUGUAAAACCAAUGACUAUAGUAUAAUAUGUCCACUUAAAGACAUUAAAUUACAUGGCGGAUGUACAUUGUAUCUAACCCUAAUGUGUCUGCUAUCAAUAUAUUAUUUAUAAUACCUUAAAAUCGUCAAUGACUAUUAAAUUAGAUUUUAUACUCGUUGGCAUAUAACAUGAGAAAAUACAAUUCCCUAAAGUAAAACAGUUUUGAUUAUAAUGUUCAAUUGAGUUAGAUUCGAAGUGGGUUAAGACGUCUUAAAUUAAAACUCCACGUAUUAAUCGGGGGGUAUCCGGUUCAAUUAUUAUUAUUAUACUAUUAUCUAGUACAAUACAAUACUUUUAUUAUAUUAUAUAUUUUUAAUUAUUUCUUAUAAGAAUGACUUCAAAGUCAUAAUUAAAAUGUAUAACAAAAACAAUUAAGCAACAAGCUAUCGAUAUAACCAAUCAAGUGACCUAUAAAAUGUAUACCAAUCUAACUCCAUCAAAAAAUGUCUGUAUUUUAUUCGUUAUUGUAGUCAACUAAAAAUAAAAAUGGCGUAUUUCUCUCACCAAAUAUUAAUCGAAUAGACGAUGUGUAAAGAAUAACGCGGAUAGAUUUAGUAGUGACUUCUGAUAACAAGAUUAGUGCCAGUGACCGGAUGACGAGUAUCAUUUCUCGAAUUUCAUAUUUUUGCGGCCCGUCCAAUAUCUCAUAUUGUACGGGUGUCACUGAAACCGAGUAUACAUAGUCGUUACGUAUCUUGACAAAAUUGAUAGGUUGAAGAUGAAAAUAAUAUAAAAAUAUAGCAAAAUAUGGUGUAGAUAGGUACUUCCACGGGUUUCAGUAGAGAGUUAAUUUAUUAAGACGUCAAAGUGAAUAUAAGUGGAUCCAAUAUUAUUAUGAUUUUUAUAGUACGCAACUCUUUAUGUAAAUAAACGCUAUUCAGAUUUUUCAGAGACUAAAAAUUAUGUAUUCGGUUGUGAUUGACGGUGAAAACAUUAAAAAUUGAACUUAC